rnacentral:rRNA from 1 species
GAUGAACGCUGGCGGCGUGCCUAAUACAUGCAAGUCGAACGCUUUGUCUUUAAUUGAUAUGAAGAGCUUGCUCUGAUUUGAUUUUAUCUGACAAAGAGUGGCGAACGGGUGAGUAACACGUGGGUAACCUACCUCUUAGCAGGGGAUAACAUUUGGAAACAAGUGCUAAUACCGUAUAACACUAACAACCGCAUGGUUGUUAGUUGAAAGAUGGUUCUGCUAUCACUAAGAGAUGGACCCGCGGUGCAUUAGCUAGUUGGUAAGGUAAUGGCUUACCAAGGCGAUGAUGCGUAGCCGAGUUGAGAGACUGAUCGGCCACAAUGGGACUGAGACACGGCCCAUACUCCUACGGGAGGCAGCAGUAGGGAAUCUUCCACAAUGGGCGCAAGCCUGAUGGAGCAACGCCGCGUGUGUGAUGUAGGGUUUCGGCUCGUAAAACACUGUUAUAAGAGAAGAACGACAUUGAGAGUAACUGUUCAGUGUGUGACGGUAUCUUAUCAGAAAGGAACGGCUAAAUACGUG